CGCCUCAAGAUGAGAUUUCCCAGUACGUAAGACCCCUGGAAGAACACCAGGUUGAUAGGCUCGAGGUGUAAGCACGGCAACGUGUGCAGCUGACGGGUACUAAUCGGUCGAGGGCUUAUCCUA
rnacentral:rRNA from 1 species